rnacentral:rRNA from 1 species
AGCGCUCUCUUCGGAGGGAGCGGCGGACGGGUGAGUAACACGUGGGAAUGUACCCUUCUCUGCGGAAUAGCCACUGGAAACGGUGAGUAAUACCGCAUACGCCCUUCGGGGGAAAGAUUUAUCGGAGAAGGAUCAGCCCGCGUUAGAUUAGAUANNUNGNNNGGNNANGGGCCUACCAAGUCUACGAUCUAUAGCUGGUUUUAGAGGAUGAUCAGCCACACUGGGACUGAGACACGGCCCAGACUCCUACGGGAGGCAGCAGUGAGGAAUCUUAGACAAUGGGCGCAAGCCUGAUCUAGCCAUGCCGCGUGUGUGAUGAAGGCCUUAGGGUCGUAAAGCACUUUCGCCAGAGAUGAUAAUGACAGUAUCUGGUAAAGAAACCCCGGCUAACUCCGUGCCAGCAGCCGCGGUAAUACGGAGGGGGUUAGCGUUGUUCGGAAUUACUGGGCGUAAAGCGCACGUAGGCGGACUGGAAAGUUGGGGGUGAAAUCCCAGGGCUCAACCCUGGAACUGCCUCCAAAACUAUCAGUCUAGAGUUCGAGAGAGGUGAGUGGAAUUCCGAGUGUAGAGGUGAAAUUCGUAGAUAUUCGGAGGAACACCAGUGGCGAAGGCGGCUCACUGGCUCGAUACUGACGCUGAGGUGCGAAAGUGUGGGGAGCAAACAGGAUUAGAUACCCUGGUAGUCCACACCGUAAACGAUGAAUGC